rnacentral:lncRNA from 1 species
UCCCAGGGAUGGGGGGGUGCUGGCGCUCAGGCUAGAGGUGACCUUGGAGCCGGGUCAGAGCCAGCCAAGCCCUGGGUGGCCCCACCACUGCUUCCGGGGGGCCCGCCAGGCCAUGGGCCCCAGGGGAGGCGGGAGGCGGGGCUCCCUUGGGUGCCAACAAGGCAGCACAGAGCCUUGGGGAGAGGAGGCGUGUAUUCCAAGCAGAGGGGACACUGGGUGGCUGGGUCACAGGGACACCGCCAAGCAGCUGAGGCCCAGAGUCCAGUCAUUUGUUUUGGGAUCCCCGACUGUCCCAUUUGUGUUUGUUUUCUGUGUUGAGACAAGUCCGCAAACAGCUGCUGGCUCAUGUUGACGGAAAUGCAUCCUCUCCCAGCCGGAGGGGCCAGAGAGCACAGUCCGCGUAGCCGUCCGGGGGGUGCGCUCCAGCGGAGACACCGGGGAAGGUCCCUGCAUCUCCAGCUCCCGGGGGCCCCAGACCCGCUGGGCUCGAGGCCACGGCCCCCCACUGUCACUUCUCUGCCCCUUACAAGAUUCCUGGGACCAUCAGGACCUUCUCCCCGUCUCGGGAUCCUUGACUUGAUGGCAGCUGCAGUUUGGGGUUUUUUUGCUUUGUUUUGGCCACCGAAGUUAGCAGUCACAGGUUCCAGGGACUAGCACACGGAUCUGAGAGCCUCCCAACCCCUGGAGGGGACUCCACGUGUGGGGGAGGGGACGCAUGGGUCUCCGGGUGUAAGGGCGCGAGCAAGGGCGCAGGACAGGAGCUCAGUGGCCUCGAGGCAACCGUCAUGGGAGCGCAGAUGAAAAACCAGUCAGAAGGCCUGCAGCUACCCAAGGCACACUCUUCUAACAUGGCGGAAGGUGGAAACUUCCAGAAGAGCCAAAAGAAAUACAUGAUGCCUCCAGAGGCCCCGGCUCAGGAUUUGCAUAGUGCCUCCUCUGACCGUGUUCUCUUGGCCCCCACCGUGGCCAAGCCCAACAUCAACAAUGGGGGCUCCGCAGUACCCUCCUCCCAUGCCCAGCCCCAUAACGGAAAUGCAGAGCGGGCGCCAGGGAAAGGCAGGAAGCCCCGUGCUUCUGGCAUCAUUGAGUCUUGUCAGCAGGGAAAUGAGUGCUGCCAGCAGACUGCCUUCUCUGAUCAGGAUGAGCUAUUUUUACAUCAACCCUGACAGAGUUUUUUAAUUCUUUGGUUAAACAGAACCUACUCCAGAGACAGGAAAAGGAAACUGCACCUCACAAUGGUUUACUGAAGUCAAAGCCAGGUCUUGAGCUCUGAUGUGGCUGAAAUCAAAGGAUCAGGAAAAAGUCCUCUAACCUCUGUUCAGGGUGUUGGGC